CGCUCCCACAAUGAAGAGGACACGCGUCGGUGACAAGCGGUGCCAAUGCCAGCAAUUCCGCCAAACCGUCACCGCUUGCUUUUGGGGACGGUGAUUGGUCGGCAUGGAGACUGGACCCCCGUCAGAUGACGGCUAAUAUGAGACUGAGCAAACGCUGCUCUGCAGUCCACUCCAGGGAGUAAAUGACAGACAGGAACCCAGCGGCCAUUUCACUUUUCCUUUAUUCAAGUCACAGAUCAUUUCACAGGAGGCUCUUAACGCGAAUCCAAAACUCAUUCGGGAUCUAAUGGCAUCCAAUGGCAAACCAUAGCCUUUAAUUCACCAUAUUUAUUAUUCACUUUCUAUGAUACAUUGGUAGAAGUACAAAAGAAAUCAUACACUAAAAUAAAUGGAAUGGAAAAUAUUGAAAUCAGUCUUAUUUCAUGACGCAUUAUCCCACAUGAACUGAAAAUACCUCAUUUCACAUUUGGCAAUAAAAAAAAACAAUAAAAAAUAAACGAAGUAGAGAUAAAUAAUUUUU